AGCAGCAGCCGCGGUAAUACGAAGGGGGCUAGCGUUGUUCGGAAUUACUGGGCGUAAAGGGCGCGUAGGCGGCCAUUCAAGUUAGAUGUGAAAGCCCUGGGCUCAACCUAGGAAUUGCAUUUGAUACUGUUUGGCUUGAGUUCGGGAGAGGUGAGUGGAAUUCCCAGUGUAGAGGUGAAAUUCGUAGAUAUUGGGAAGAACACCAGUGGCGAAGGCGGCUCACUGGACCGACACUGACGCUGAGGCGCGAAAGCGUGGGGAGCAAACAGGAUUAGAGACCCCGGUAGUCCCUGUCUCUUAUAC
rnacentral:rRNA from 1 species